CAGUGCCUUGUGGAUGCCUAGUUCACAAAAUACAAAGAUCAGAAACUAUCAGCAUGUGUCUUGGAAAGAGCCAACCUGAAGAAAGAGCUGCAGUGAUUCCUAUCCUGGCUGCAUAUCCAGCGACCCGGGGAAAACACUCAGAGGCACACAUACUCAGCCCUCAGCCCUGAAGAUUAUGAUUUAAUCCACCUUGAGUGGAAUCCAAGAAUCUAUAUGUUUAAUGGAAACCUCCAGAAAAAUCUGAUGCAGUCAGUCUGAGUAAUAACUCUCAUAGAGUUAUCAUCUUAAAAUAAAAAUAAGCUUUGUGAUUUAUCAAAAUGAUACCUGAAAUACCUUUUAAAGAGGAUGUCUAAUAAUUAUAUAAUUUGAAGUAGAAGGUUAUCAUUCUCUAAUAAUGAGGUUAGUUACACUCUGG
rnacentral:lncRNA from 1 species